rnacentral:lncRNA from 1 species
GGGAAGUGGAGCAAAGGAUAUUAUUAUCUGACAAAAAGUCCAGUGCGAGGUGGAGCUUCGAGAGCCAGGUGGAGCCCAGAGCGAGAUGGAGCUCCAGGUGGAGGUGGAUUGGGCACGAGACAGGAGACUCGAGAGGAUGAGAGGCGACGUCGCAAGGUGAGAUUCCUAUUGCCACAGGAUGAUGCCUCGAGUAGGUCUCA